UACAGAGGUCCCGAGCGUUGUUCGGAUUCACUGGGCGUAAAGGGUGCGUAGGUGGUCGGGUAAGUCUGAUGUGAAAUCUCUGGGCUCAACCCAGAGACUGCAUUGGAUACUAUCCGGCUAGAGGAGUGGAGGGGGGACUGGAAUACUUGGUGUAGCAGUGAAAUGCGUAGAUAUCAAGUGGAACACCAGUGGCGAAGGCGAGUCCCUGGACACUUCCUGACACUGAGGCACGAAAGCUAGGGGAGCAAACAGG
rnacentral:rRNA from 1 species